AUGCUCGCUUCGGCAGCACACAUACUAAAGUUGGAACGAUACAGAGAAGAUUAGCAUGGCCCAUGCGCAAGGAUGACAUGCAAAGUCGUGAAGGAUUGGCAUUUGCC